rnacentral:rRNA from 1 species
CCCUUAGAUGUUCUGGGCCGCACGCGCGCUGCACUGAUGCAUUCAACGAGUCUAAAACCUGGUCUGAGAGGGCUGGGUAAUCUUUUGAAAGUGCAUCGUGAUUGGGAUAGAUGAUUGCAAUUCUUCAUCUUCAACGAGGAAUGCCUAGUAAACGCAAGUCAUCAGCUUGCAUUGAUUACGUCCCUGCCCUUUGUACACACCGCCCGUCGCUCCUACCGAUUGAACGAUCCGAUGAAAACUGUGGAUUGAGAGUCUGAGUGGGUUCGCCUACCUCAACUUUCGAGAAGCGGUUUAAAUCUUAUCGUUUAGAGGAAGGAGAAGUCGUAUCA